rnacentral:tRNA from 1 species
UGCCCAAGGAUGGGAAUCGAACCCACAGUGUUCCGCUUACCUAGCAGUUGUCAUAUCCACUAGGCUAACCUGGAC